rnacentral:rRNA from 1 species
ACGAACGCUGGCGGCGUGCUUCACACAUGCCAGUCGAACGGAAAGGCCCUGCUUUUGUGGGGUGCUCGAGUGGCGAACGGGUGAGUAACACGUGAGUAACCUGCCCUUGACUUUGGGAUAACUUCAGGAAACUGGGGCUAAUACCGGAUAGGAGCUCCUGCUGCAUGGUGGGGGUUGGAAAGUUUCGGCGGUUGGGGAUGGACUCGCGGCUUAUCAGCUUGUUGGUGAGGUAGUGGCUUACCAAGGCUUUGACGGGUAGCCGGCCUGAGAGGGUGACCGGCCACAUUGGGACUGAGAUACGACCCAGACUCCUACGGGAGGCAGCAGUGGGGAAUAUUGCACAAUGGGCGGAAGCCUGAUGCAGCAACGCCGCGUGCGGGAUGACGGCCCUCGGGUUGUAAACCGCUUUCGCCUGUGACGAAGCGUGAGUGACGGUAAUGGGUAAAGAAGCACCGGCUAACUACGUG